GCCAUGCUUUUGGGAAAAUUCGGCCAAAUCCAAAGGGUGGAUUUUUGGAUUCUUGUUUGACUUGUUAAAAGUGUUUUCAAGUCACUUUUGGAACCCCUAUGUACCCUAGUUUGGUUAUAUGUUAUUUCCCUAAAGUUUGAAUGGUUUUGGAAUGUUUUUGGGUGAAAAAUGUUCAUGGAAAUUUUUUGAGUUUUUCAUGAGUGUUCUUCAUUGUUCUUGACAUUUUUGCCAAGAACAAAAAGUUUGGUGUUUUGAUUCAAAGUUUUGAUUUAUUUCAUAAAGUUUAUGUUUUAUGUUUUUCAAAUGAUUUAAUGUGUUAGAUAUUUGUUUAAAUGGUGGUAGAAAUAUUGGUGGGUGUGAAAGGAUUAAUUUCCUUUCACACACACCACUUGCAUGACAUUUAUGUCAUGCACCACUUGCAUGCUUUAUGUCUAAAACUACAAAUCAACACACACAUCACUCUCUUUGCUCUCCAAAACCAGCCACUCCCUCAAUGGGAGUACUUUUGGGGCUUUUAUGCAAUUACAUAAAGUUUUGAUACUUUUGUGUAUUUGCACUUUGGCCCAAAAGUUUACGUUUUUACGUUUAGGUCCAAAAACGCUAAAGGACAAAUUGUUUUGCUCCUUUAAUGAAGUUUUUGCAUUGUUUAAAUUUUGGGUUCUAGUUGUAAUUACAUGAAGUAGUGGACUUUUGUGUUUUUACAAAGUGACCCCAGAAGUUUAUGUUUUUGCAAUAUAGCCCAAAGGUUGUGGUAAUUGCAUAUUGGCCCAAAUUAGGAUGAGAACAAAAUUGUUUUGUCUCUUUAAAUGAGAAUUGGAUUUUCAUUUCAUUUAGCUCCAUUUAAAUCAAUUUUAUGGAUACAAAAACCAAAUGAAAAUGUUGCAUUCAAUUUAAUUAGUUAAAGUGUUAAUUAAUUAAAGGGUGAUUAUGAACCUGAGCCUACGAUAAUUGAGCUAUGUGAAAGGCCGUUUCAAAUUUGUUUGAACCAUGGGAAUGUGUAGAUUAGAUUUGUGGUUGUAAUUUGAUUUGAUCAAAUGUUGUAAUAAAAGAGCAUAAGCUCUUCUUUACUUUAAAGUAAUUUGUUUUAUUCAAUUGUUGUAAAAGAGCAUAAGUUCUUCUUUACUUUAAAGUACUCAUUUUCUUGUUUUUAUUUGAUAUGCAUG
rnacentral:lncRNA from 1 species